UGGUGGUGGUGCUGGCUGCUGUUCUGCUUUUCUUCUACAAAAAGAGGACUAAGCACUCUGAUGGUUCAAACCAGAGAGGAAACACAGACAUCACCAGGACUGAGAUUAACAUCUAUGAGAACUGCCCUCCACUCUCCACCCGUGCAGACUCCACCUACCAGAGUCUGGAUCCAGCCUCCAG